GUCUCGGUAGCUUAAUGGAUAACGCGCGCGCGCGUUGGACUUCUAAUCCAAAGGUCGUGGGCUCGAAUCCCACCUGGGAUG